rnacentral:lncRNA from 1 species
CCUAAUUGUGGGAAUUAGGUUUUCAUUCACCGUGAAGAUUGCAAGAAGAGUUAACAGAUUGCUCACCUCUUGCUAACGGAUUGCAGAAGGGUUUUGAAUCUUUUCUGUAAGCCGUCGAUUUCUUAUUGUGCAGUGAUUUAAUUGUGAAAUAGGAAUUUUGGAUUGUUUGUAUAAAUAUAUUUUUUUUUUUAAAAAGGAAGAAAAUUUCUUUUAUUGCUCAGUUGUUCUCACUUCUCCAAUUGGGUUUAAUUUCUUUAUAAAUUUUGCAUUUGUGUGUAGCGUACAUUUAGUUUCUGAUUUUGAGUCCAACCUUUAUUUUUCCCCCAACUUUCUAGGAGUUUUCACUUAAAAGUGUGUAGCAUGCAUUCCUUGAUUUUCCUCUUCGUGAUGUGGGUUAGCAUCCAAUCUCAAUCAUUUAACUCAAUUUCUUUAAUGUAUUGCACGAGUGUGCAAUUUAGGUUCUGUUAAUAUUUGAGAGAAUGGUUAUUGGUGUGGGAUUCGAUUGCAAUCCAAUGAUUUUUCACAGCAGAUGAAAAAGGAAUAUUGAUUAUGGUGAGUCAAACUUCUGGGAAAAAAACUUUUCCAUCUUUUUGAUUAUGUAUAACUUGAUAUAAAUCUAUAAGCAGAAAUAAGCAUUCUUAUGUAUGUAUGCUCCAAAUCAUCUAACAUCCUUGGUUGAUCAUUUGUAUGUAACAAGUUUAUUUAAGUUAUUAUCAUGUCCUUUACUUAAUCUCUAACAACAUGCACAGAACGUGAAGCUCAUUCCAUUAUGUAGUAGAUUAUGUCUUCUAUUGGUACAUAUCAUACUUUCCCGUUUUGUUCAUAUUAAGGAUGAUCAAGUAGCUUAUCCGAAGAAUCUUAUAUUAUGUAUUUUUGAGUUUUGUAUCUAUGGUGCUAUGCAAUUUUUGUUACCCCCUCAACAAUCUUGUGUUUUCAUUCACGAUUCAAGAAAGAAGGGUACCAGUCUCACGUAUUAAGCAGCUUGUCUGCAUAAGAAAAUAUUGAAAUUAAUUGGUCCUAUUUGGUUUUUGUCAUCUUCAAGAAUUUCUUUAAGAUUCCUUGAUGAGAGAAAAUGGUAAAUUUGAGUUCAAGAUAUAGUUCACAGGUGCUUUGCCUGCUUCUCUUCUUCAGUUUCACAGGUUGCAAACUGAAUGAAAAAUCGUUAAUCAGAACCAGAGAGUGUGAUAUUGAACUUAAACAAAAUUCAUUGGUCGAUGCUUAUGAAGUGUUUGAUUAUGUAGUAAAGCAAGUGCUUGACUGAUGUUACUACAUACACAACAUUGAGAGAGCACUUAAGUGGUUGAGUGAAGCUAGAGAGCAAUGGGAUCUUGCAUACAC